rnacentral:lncRNA from 1 species
GAGGCCCGUUCGCGUCUACAUGGACGGUUGCUUCGACAUGAUGCACUACGGCCACUGCAACGCGCUGCGUCAGGCGCGUGCUCUCGGUGACCAAUUGGUCGUUGGUGUUGUUAGCGACGAAGAGAUCAUAGCUAAUAAAGGACCUCCCGUUACUCCUCUUCAUGAAAGGUCUCUCUCUCUCUCUCUCUAUUGGUUGUUGGUGUUGUUAGCGAUGAAGAGAUCAUAGCUAAUAAAGGACCUCCCGUUACUCCUCUUCAUGAAAGGUCUCUCUCUCGAUCUCAAUUCAUUUGUUAAGGCCGGUCCUGAGAUGGUGAAUAACAAUGUUCAACGAACCGUUAUACAGUACUAGUACUUGGUGUUUUAUAGGGGAUUAUUGAUUAGGCGGGCGCAUAAACAGACUUUUUUGAUGCCCACAUUGAUUUUUAAAGGCCGGUCCUAGAAUUUAAGGGACUUAACAAAUGGUGAAUAACAAUGUUCAAUUAACGGUAUGUAGUAAUUAGGCGUUUUAUAGAAGAUUAUUGAUUAGGCAGGCGCUUAAACGGAAUUUUUUUUAUUUCCACACUGA